AUAUAAAGUAUAAAAGAGUUGCUACAUUAAUUAAAUGCGCAAUUAUAACGUUAUAAUGAAAAAAAUGUUUUAAGUUUGGUGAGACAUUUUUAAUUAUACUUGUUUUCCUUGUGACGUCCAUCCUUUGACAUUUUCUUUCUAAAUAAAUCACAUAUCGAAAUAAAUACAUUAGGAAAACGAGUAGGGGAUUAACGGAGUUAUGCGGAGUUGUUAUAGGCGUACAAGUUCAUAUUUUAAAAAUCACAUAUCGAUGAUAAACAUACCUUUUUAGUUAUAAUAUGUAAAAGUAUGAAAGGAAGUUGACAAAAAGUAAAAGGAAAAUGAGAGGAUAUAUAAUAUUUGGUAUUAUAUAUUUGUAAACAAAUUGAUGUAUAGCCUAUGAUAAGUAAUAGUUUCGAAUAUAUUCAGUAGGUCGAUAUUGGAGACUUUUU
rnacentral:lncRNA from 1 species